rnacentral:rRNA from 1 species
CAAUAGCGUAUAUUAAAGUUGUUGCAGUUAAAAAGCUCGUAGUUGAAUUUCUGGUGGGCGCGCCGGUCUUCCAAGAGUUGUACUGGGCGCAGUCCGCCAUCCUUGUGGAGAGGGCUCGCAUUGAGUUGCGUGUCGGAUCUGCAUCAUUUACUGUGAAAAAAUUAGAGUGUUUAAAGCAGGCUGUCGCUUGAAUACAUUAGCAUGGAAUAAUAAGAUAGGACUUCGGUCUAUUUUGUUGGUUGCGAACCGAGGUAAUGAUUAAUAGGGAUAGUUGGGGGUAUUCAUAUUUAAUUGUCAGAGGUGAAAUUCUUGGAUUUAUGAAAGAUGAACAACUGCGAAAGCAUUUACCAAGGAUGUUUUCAUUA